AUCACAGCAGGAUAUAUCUCAUGCAAGGCUCUGGUUCUUUGAGGGCCAUAAGAAGAUCUUGCUUUGUAGUGAGAUCUCACUUCUUCCACGGAUACAAGAGGAGCGCUGCUGAUCUGAUGCUACGGGUUCUGCAAAACAACCCUGACAUGUGGCUGCAAGUGGUGCACAUCCUGCAGAACUACCAGAACCUCAACACGACGUUCCCUCCAAAUGUUGGCCUUCAUUCUUCAUAAGUUGGGUGCACAGGAGCUCUAGGAAGAAGAAUCCUAAAGAAAAACCACACCCAGCAAUGCGUUUUAGCUCACUGGAGCUAGUUAUGUGUUGUGUAUGUUUAGUUGUAUUUUAUAGCUGAAUACCAAAUAUGUACUAUGUAUGAUUGUAAUGUACUUUG